rnacentral:rRNA from 1 species
CCUACGGGAGGCAGCAGUAAGGAAUAUUGGUCAAUGGACGCAAGUCUGAACCAGCCAUGCCGCGUGAAGGAUGAAUGCCCUCUGGGUUGUAAACUUCUUUUAUAGGGGACGAAAAAGGGUCUUUUCAGAUCAACUGACGGUACCCUAGGAAUAAGCACCGGCUAACUCCGUGCCAGCAGCCGCGGUAAUACGGAGGGUGCAAGCGUUAUCCGGAUUUACUGGGUUUAAAGGGUGCGUAGGUGGGUUGGUAAGUCAGCGGUGAAAUCUUCGAGCUUAACUCGGAAACUGCCAUUGAUACUAUCAGCCUUGAAUAUCCUGGAGGUGAGCGGAGUAUGUCAUGUAGCGGUGAAAUGCUUGGAUAUGACAUAGAACACCAAUUGCGAAGGCAGCUCACUACGGGAUUAUUGACACUGAGGCACGAAAGCGUGGGGAUCAAACAGGAUUAGAUACCCUGGUAGUCCACGCCCUAAACGAUGGAUACUCGACAUUUGCGAUAUACAGUAAGUGUCUGAGCGAAAGCAUUAAGUAUCCCACCUGGAAGUACGAUCGCAAGAUUGAAACUCAAAUGAAUUGACG